AUCGAGCUCGCCCGAUCCCCUCUUUUUCCCCAUCGUGCCCCUCCUCAUCUGCUCGAAAUCGAGCGCAAGAGCUCGCACGGUGACUGCGUCGUCGUCGUUGUUGCCGUGGCCACCGGCCACCGUCCGCCGUCCGUUGAAGCCCAGAAGAAGUGCGCCGUCGUCCUCUUCUUCCACGUCGAGCGCCAUGAGCUAGGACGCCCCCGUGCUGUUGCUCCCGUCAAUCCCCUCCGCGGACAACCGUCGUUGUCGGCUAUCGAUUCGCUCGACUCCGACUUCCCCCGACCUCACCGGUGCUCGUCAGGUCGCCAGGCAGUGCUCCCAAAAUCUGCAGAUGGAGCUAGUGACAGAUCGCUGAAGUUCUAUUUAAAAAUGGAGAGAAGUCUGACAAAGAGAGGGAUUGGUUGUCUUGAAGAUUUUUCUUUUCUCCUUCCAUAUUUACAAACUCACUCAUUAUGCAGAGAGGUAGAAGAAUUCAGAUGCCAGCUCAUAUGUUUUCGAGAGUACAGAUGCCAGCUCAUAUGUUACACAUGCAAAAAAGGACACAUACAC
rnacentral:rRNA from 1 species